GAUGAACGCUGGCGGCGUGCCUAAUACAUGCAAGUCGAGCGAACAGACGAGGAGCUUGCUCCUCUGACGUUAGCGGCGGACGGGUGAGUAACACGUGGAUAACCUACCUAUAAGACUGGGAUAACUUCGGGAAACCGGAGCUAAUACCGGAUAAUAUAUUGAACCGCAUGGUUCAAUAGUGAAAGACGGUUUUGCUGUCACUUAUAGAUGGAUCCGCGCCGCAUUAGCUAGUUGGUAAGGUAACGGCUUACCAAGGCAACGAUGCGUAGCCGACCUGAGGGGGUGAUCGGCCACACUGGAACUGAGACACGGUCCAGACUCCUACGGGAGGCAGCAGUAGGGAAUCUUCCGAAAUGGGCGAAAGCCUGACGGAGCAACGCCGCGUGAGUGAUGAAGGUCUUCGGAUCGUAAAACUCUGUUAUUAGGGAAGAACAAAUGUGUAAGUAACUAUGCACGUCUUAACGGUACCUAAUCAGAAAGCCACGGCUAACUACGU
rnacentral:rRNA from 1 species